rnacentral:rRNA from 1 species
UUGAAGUGAGGGAUACCGGCGAGAAAUCGCCGACAAUACCGCAUAGGCUCUUUGUCGCAAGAGAGAGAGCAAAGUUUUCCGCAAGGCAGACGCUUUGGGAUGGGCCUGUGGCCGAUUAGCUAGCUGGUGGGGUAAUGGCUCACCAGGGCUGUGAUCGGUAGCUGGUCUGAGAGGACGAUCAGCCACACUGGGAUUGAGAACGGCCCAG